rfam:Enterocytozoon bieneusi H348 ctg01_1882, whole genome shotgun sequence.
GUGUAUUUGGAAAUAUCCCUAAUACAGGAUCACUUGGAUCCGUCGGCGAUGACGAGCGCGAAAGAAUGCGAAAAGUCCUCACGGAAUGCUCUAAUUAUGAGAUAAUCUCAUGGAUACUCCCUGGACUUAAGCAUAUCAUUAAGGGAAGGAAAAGAAACUAACUAGGAUUCCGUUAGUAGUGGCGAAUGAACACGGAAGAGCUCCAAUGGUAAAGCCUAAGUGCUGUUGUAAUGUAGCCUCCGAAAACAUUCUGGAAAGGAUGACCACAGUGGGUGAUAGUCCCAGAGGAGGAUGUAAAGAAUAGAGUAGUGCUGCUUGGUAGUGCAGUAUGAAGAGGAGGUAGAAACUUCUAAAGCUAAAUACAGACGGAUACCGAUAGAGAAGAAGUAGUGCGAACGAAAGUUGAAAAGAUCUCAUCUAGAGAAUGAAAAGUGAAAGUAUUAGGGCGUAAGCUGAUGACAUCAGACCCGUAUUGAAACACGGACCAAGGAGACUUUGAGUAUAGCGAGGCGAAGGAUGUGAAGUCCCCACCCGCGAGAAAUCUACAAGUUAUACUGAUAGGACCCGAAAGGCAGUGAACUAUACCUGCUCUGCUUGACGCCACGGCAAACCGUGGUUGAGGAGCUAAGUCGUAUUGAUGUUCAACUCAUUGACAGGAAGUGGGUAUAGGGGCGAAAGACCAAUCGAACUGCCUGGUAGCUGGUUCCGGCCGAAAUGUCUCUCAGGACAGCGGUGUCUGCGAAUAGGAAGAUGCGGUAGAGAGGAUGUCGACCUUGUCAACAAACUCCGAAUGCGUCAUUGUGUUGCGAUUGCAUCCAACAUGAUCAUCUAUAAGACACUAGUGGGCGCCUGUGGAAGCAGCGCCAAAA